UACGUAGGGAGCGAGCGUUGUCCGGAUUCAUUGGGCGUAAAGAGCUCGUAGGCGGCUUGGUAAGUCGGAUGUGAAACCUCCAGGCUCAACCUGGAGUCGCCAUCCGAUACUGCCAUGGCUAGAGUCCGGUAGGGGCCCACGGAAUUCCUGGUGUAGCGGUGAAAUGCGCAGAUAUCAGGAGGAACACCGAUGGCGAAGGCAGGUCUCUGGGCAUUAACUGACGCUGAGGAGCGAAAGCAUGGGGAGCGAACAGG
rnacentral:rRNA from 1 species